UGAGGAAUAUUGGGCAAUGCCCGCAAGGGUGACCCAGCAACGCCGCGUGGAGGAUGAAUGUCGUAAGAUUGUAAACUCCUGUUAGAGGGGAAGAAUAGUACCGGUUGGACCGGUAUAUGACUGUACCCUCAGAGAAAGCCCCGGCUAACAACGUGCCAGCAGCCGCGGUAAUACGUAGGGGGCAAGCGUUGUCCGGAUUUACUGGGUGUAAAGGGCGCGCAGGCGGGAUAAAAAGUCAGCGGUGAAAUCCUACAGCUUAACUGUAGAACUGCCUUUGAUACUUUUAUUCUUGAGUUCGGGAGAGAGAGACGGAAUUCCAGGUGUAGUGGUGAAAUACGUAGAUAUCUGGAAGAACACCAGUUGCGAAGGCGGUCUCUUGGUCCGACACUGACGCUGAGGCGCGAAAGCGUGGGGAGCAAACA
rnacentral:rRNA from 1 species